rnacentral:lncRNA from 1 species
UUGAUAAUUAUUUCUUUUAACUAUUCUCUAAUUUUCUUAUAAAAAUGAGAGUUAAGGUGUUUUUCUUAGUAAUAAUAAUAUGAAGAGUAUUUUUACAUUUUUAAAACAUGAAACACAUGCUUUAAAAAGCAAUAAAGGGACAAGGUAGAGAACCAGUGUAGGCUGUAACUUUCCUUAAAAUGUUGGUGGGUCUGUGUUCUUUUGUGGAGACUGACUCUGAGGAUGAAUCAGGUUACAAAUUUCUCUAGUUUUAUACAUAUUGUUGACAGAAUUCAGUUCAUUGUGUUUAUAGGACUGAGGUUUUCAUUUGGUCUCUGGCUGUUGGCCAGGAUCUUAUUCUCAACUUAUAGAAAUAAUCCAUGCUCCUUGGCCAAUGGUUUCCUUUUAUAGCAAUACAAAGUCUUUUUGUCCUUCAAAUGUCUCUGCCUUCUCUUUCUGCCUUGUUUUUCCUCUGCUUCCUGGAGAAAGUUUUUUAUUUUUUAAAGUCUCAUAUAAUUAGGAAGAAAAGUUUAUUUUGGAUCAUGGUUUCAGUGACUCAGUCCGUGGUUGACAGCAUUUAGCCCCUAGGCCUGGUGUGAGGCAGAAGGGAGACAGAAAAUCAUGGUGGAAGAGUGUGCUGGAGGAGAACUACUCAGUUCAUGCCAGCUACUAAGGAAAGAG